rnacentral:antisense_RNA from 1 species
ACCACCAAUAAAGAAAUUAACGUCUAACUUUUCAUUUAGCAAA